AAAGUCGUAACAAGGUUUCCGUAGGUGAACCUGCGGAAGGAUCAUUACUGAAUGACCCGCACCUCGCCGUGUGUGUGGGUGCUCAUUGGUGCCUCUUGAUCUUGAACUUGGUGCUCAUCAGUCCUGCCCACCUGUGUGGGUUGGGGCGGGUUGCCCUUUUCAAGAUGUGUCAUAUGCUACACCCAAAGCUUGUCAUUGUAUGGUGUUGAACUUCAACAUAUUAUCAUAACUUUCAACAACGGAUCUCUUGGCUCUC
rnacentral:misc_RNA from 1 species